rnacentral:rRNA from 1 species
GGAAUAUUGGGCAAUGGGCGCAAGCCUGACCCAGCGACGCCGCGUGAGGGAUGAAGGUCUUCGGAUUGUAAACCUCUUUCAGUGGGGAAGAAGCGAAAGUGACGGUACCCAAAGAAGAAGCACCGGCUAACUAUGUGCCAGCAGCCGCGGUAAUACAUAGGGUGCAAGCGUUGUCCGGAAUUAUUGGGCGUAAAGAGCUCGUAGGUGGUUUAUCACGUCGGAUGUGAAAUUCUGAGGCUCAACCUCGGACCUGCAUUCGAUACGGGCAAACUAGAGUGUGGUAGGGGAGACUGGAAUUCCUGGUGUAGCGGUGGAAUGCGCAGAUAUCAGGAGGAACACCAAUGGCGAAGGCAGGUCUCUGGGCCAUUACUGACACUGAGGAGCGAAAGCGCGGGGAGCGAACAGGAUUAGAUACCCUGGUAGUCCGCGCCGUAAACGGUGGGCACUAGUUGUGGGAACCUUCCACGGUUUCCGCGACGCAGCUAACGCAUUAAGUGCCCCGCCUGGGGAGUACGAUCGCAAGAUUAAAACUCAAAUGAAUUGACGG